rnacentral:rRNA from 1 species
AUACGGAGGGUGCAAGCGUUGUUCGGAAUCACUGGGCGUAAAGGGCGCGCAGGCGGUUUGGUAAGUCAGAUGUGAAAGCCCAUGGCUCAACCAUGGAAGUGCAUUUGAAACUGUCAGACUUGAGUACUAGAGGGGAAAGUGGAAUUCCCGGUGUAGAGGUGAAAUUCGUAGAUAUCGGGAGGAAUACUGGUGGCGAAGGCGACUUUCUGGCUAGAUACUGACGCUGAGGCGCGAAAGCGUGGGGAGCAAACAGGAUUAGAAACCCUAGUAGUCC